UAUGGUACGAAAUUAAACAAUGAAAGCAAUAACAAAAGGAAAUGACCGAAUAGAAACAAGGAAGCAAAACAAGAACAUAUUUAUGAAUUGAAUGGAAUGACAAUGGAAGGAAAAUAUGAAGAAAAAUGAAGCUUAUGAGAAAUGGAGUUUGAGAUGAUGAGCACGUCACUUGGAUGAUGAAAUGACUCCAAGAUAAGUGUUGGAAGCCGCCACUUUAGAGCUCUCAAAUUCUCACAAGAUAAGACUAAAGACUAAGAGGAACAAGCCUCACUAGCAUCUCACACAAAAUGUGCAGAGUAACUUUUCUCUAUUUC
rnacentral:lncRNA from 1 species